GGAUGUGAGGCCAUCUGGCUGUGGCAUGUGUCUCCCCAUUGCUUGCUAGGGUUGAUUUUGCUGAUCUGGCUGGCUAGGCGGGGGUCCCUUUCCUCCCUCACCGCUCCAUGUGCAUCCCUCCCAAAGCUGCGUGCUCAGUCAAAGACUUCAACCAUCCCCAAUAGAGGAGGACCAGUUUUCAGCCAAGAGUAUACAAAUAGCUGGGCUCCUCUGCUAGAACCUCCAAACAAGCUCUCAGUACGUGGAAUCUGACCUUAUUUGAAGAGAGGGUCUUUACAGAGGUAAUCAAUUUUAAAUGAGGUCAUGAGGGUGAGCCCUAAU
rnacentral:snRNA from 1 species